GUCGUUGUCCUAUCGAGACCUAAUAUUUAAUUCAAGAGUAAAGGAAUUUAAGCCUCAGACUAAGUAAGAAUAUUACAGAUGAUUCCUGGCUCGAGUUGGAUAGGUCUUUUUUUGGCUGGCAACAUAAUUAUUAUACCUAAUUAUACUCUUACAGUUACGACACUUAAACAGCUUCACCUGAUAAUCUACUGUACGGCUACUGCUGUUAUUAAAACCCUGGGAUUAAAAAUAAUACAAAAAAAGAUUGAAGAUAUAAGGAAAGACAUUGGCCGGCUAAAUGAAUAUAUUGAAGGUACAAGAACCAGAAAAGUACAAAAAAGAGUAGAGGAAAUAAUGCAUCAGACCCAAUAACAUACACAGCAGGACCCAGAAAACUGUACUCCGGAACAAUGUCUAGAUACCCUUAAACAAAAGCUAUCUAUUUUUUCAGGUCGAUUAAAAAGGUAUAAAUCCAAUAAUAAAAGGAAACUAGAUCAUUUACUUUUUGAACGCUCAGAGAAGCAAUUCUAUCGAAAGCUUAACGACACUUCUCCAACAAACACCGCCACUAGCAUUAACCCCACUAAAGAAAACAUCAAGGAGUUCUGAGGCACUCAAUUAUCAAUACCUAGUGAAUGCAACCUCGACACUGAAUGGCUGACUGAAGAACGAGUAAAAGAGCCAAGCAUAUAAUCCAAUGGCAUUUAACAUUUUCAGUUGAUGAAGUGACUAACGUCAUAAAAAACUACGUAACUGGAAAACUCCAGGCCCAGAUCACGUCCAAAAUUACUGGAUUAAGAAAUUGUGAUCAACACAUCAACAACUGACCGAUCUUCUAAACGACGUGCUUAUAAAUCCUCAGAAUUUUUUAACAAAAGGUACCACUUACCUCUUGUCCAAGGAUUGCCAAAACACUCAAGAUCUGGCUAAAUAUUGGCCAAUAACAUGCUUACCCACACUCUAUAAACUAAUUACAUCUUAAAUUACAGAUCGCAUUUACAGAUAUUGUGACCAAAAUAGUAUCAUAGCGACUCAAUAGACAAUGUACCAGAGGUGCCAUGGGGUGUAAAGAACAGCUAAUUAUCGACUCCGUAGUUUGCAAUCAGGCAUUUAAGAAGAGAAACCUUUUCGCAGCAUAUAUUGACUACCGACAAGCUUUUGAUGCAGUUCUACAUAAAUGGCUUAUUAAUGUAGUUAAAUUGUACAAAAUAGAUAACCACAUUAUUUUCUUUUUAGAAUUCGCCAUGGCAUCUUGGCGAACAUCAAUAAAACUUCAGGUGCCUAACAGUAACUACAUUGGAACUAAUAUGAUUUUUAUUCGUAGGUGUGUAUUCUAGGGCGAUUCCUUAAGUUCACUUUGGUUCUGCCUUACAAUGAACACACUAUCUAGCCUCAAUUCAACUAGAUACGGAUUUGGCCUAAAAAAGGAUAAUAAAGAACUAACAAGAGUAAACCAUCUACUUUAUAUGGAUGACUUAAAAAUUCUUGCAACAACACGAAAUCAACUAGACCAGAUGCGUAACAUAGUGAAAAAAUUGUCCGAUGAUAUAGGAAUGACCUUUGGAGUGGAUAAGUGCCGAACUGUAGACAUUAUUAAGGGUUAACUACAACCAGGUGACCUUCAAACAGAAAACGGUCAGGAUGGAGUAAAACGAACAUGGAAAAUUUGCAAAGAAAGGCUGGAACACUUCUAACGAAAGCUAAUAACCAUCAACCACGGAGUGCCGUAGAAUGGACUACGGUAUCUUGACAUAUGGGAGGAAGAAGAAUGACCGACAUAGAGAAGUAGCUAACUCAGAAAAUUAGUGACUUGCGUUCUUUUUUUUUGAGAAAGGCUGAAACAUCUUAUGUGAAGGAGACGACUUAACACCACUUCAACUACAGGAGCUUGAGCUGCCUAUACACCAUAGCACCAAGCAAGAAAAAAUGCAAGCUUGGAUGGAAAAAAUCACUACAUAGAAGGCAUGAUUACGAGGUUCAUCAAGAGUAUCGACAUAGCGGCAUCGCACUACUGGUUGACUUAGGGACAGCUUUUCACCGAAACUAAAGGGUUUCUUGUAGCUAUCCAAGAUUAAGUAAUACCAACAAGAAAUUACUUGAAGUUUGUAGUAGGUGACCCAACGGUACAAAGUGAAAGAUAUGGAUGUGAGACAACGGAGUCUAUUUAGCAUGUCAAUGCUGAAGCUCAGCACCGGUGGAUGUCAAACUUUUGCACACGAAAUAUAAAGAACGACAUAACCUAGUUGCAAAGAUACUGCAUCAAGAGCUUGCAGAAAAACUAAACCUUUUAUCGGCAGCCAAGGUACCAUAUUAAAAGCCGGAACCAGUUCUUAAAAAUGCGCAACACAAAUUGUAUUCGGAUCCCACGGAAGACAACCCUUAUUCUCCAUAAUAACAACCCAAGAGCAAAACAUAAUGAAAAGAUUGUUAAGUACAGGGAUCUAGGACACCAGAUAAGAAGACAAUGGGACAUUUUCCAUUGUCUUAGUGUAAACUAACUUUAUCAUUAUAAAAGUUCGGAUAGUUCCAAUUAUUGUGUCAACAACAUGAGUAAUACCAAAGAGACGGAUUGAAAACAUGAAACUGCUCAACCUUAAGAAAAGCAUAUAUUAUAAGCUGAUGCAGAAGUCGACGCUAUUAUUCACACCUCGAAUUGUCAGAAAGUUCAUUGGAAAUGUAGAUUAAGAUCAACUAGAUUAAAAAACAUAUCAUGUACUUUUAGUCUUAGUUUAUUAUUUGUAAAUAAAGUUUAAAAACAGAGUCCGAUAACAUGGAAAGAACUCCACCCGAGGCUUCAUCCUUCUAAUAUCUGAUAUAUCUGG